ACGAACGCUGGCGGCGUGCCUAAUACAUGCAAGUCGAACGCUUCUUUUUCCACCGGAGCUUGCUCCACCGGAAAAAGAGGAGUGGCGAACGGGUGAGUAACACGUGGGUAACCUGCCCAUCAGAAGGGGAUAACACUUGGAAACAGGUGCUAAUACCGUAUAACAAUCGAAACCGCAUGGUUUUGAUUUGAAAGGCGCUUUCGGGUGUCGCUGAUGGAUGGACCCGCGGUGCAUUAGCUAGUUGGUGAGGUAACGGCUCACCAAGGCGACGAUGCAUAGCCGACCUGAGAGGGUGAUCGGCCACAUUGGGACUGAGACACGGCCCAAACUCCUACGGGAGGCAGCAGUAGGGAAUCUUCGGCAAUGGACGAAAGUCUGACCGAGCAACGCCGCGUGAGUGAAGAAGGUUUUCGGAUCGUAAAACUCUGUUGUUAGAGAAGAACAAGGAUGAGAGUAACUGUUCAUCCCUUGACGGUAUCUAACCAGAAAGCCACGGCUAACUACGUGCCAGCAGCCGCGGUAAUACGUAGGUGGCAAGCGUUGUCCGGAUUUAUUGGGCGUAAAGCGAGCGCAGGCGGUUCCUUAAGUCUGAUGUGAAAGCCCCCGGCUCAACCGGGGAGGGUCAUUGGAAACUGGGAGACUUGAGUGCAGAAGAGGAGAGUGGAAUUCCAUGUGUAGCGGUGAAAUGCGUAGAUAUAUGGAGGAACACCAGUGGCGAAGGCGGCUCUCUGGUCUGUAACUGACGCUGAGGCUCGAAAGCGUGGGGAGCAAACAGGAUUAGAUACCCUGGUAGUCCACGCCGUAAACGAUGAGUGCUAAGUGUUGGAGGGUUUCCGCCCUUCAGUGCUGCAGCUAACGCAUUAAGCACUCCGCCUGGGGAGUACGACCGCAAGGUUGAAACUCAAAGGAAUUGACGGGGGCCCGCACAAGCGGUGGAGCAUGUGGUUUAAUUCGAAGCAACGCGAAGAACCUUACCAGGUCUUGACAUCCUUUGACCACUCUAGAGAUAGAGCUUCCCCUUCGGGGGCAAAGUGACAGGUGGUGCAUGGUUGUCGUCAGCUCGUGUCGUGAGAUGUUGGGUUAAGUCCCGCAACGAGCGCAACCCUUAUUGUUAGUUGCCAUCAUUUAGUUGGGCACUCUAGCAAGACUGCCGGUGACAAACCGGAGGAAGGUGGGGAUGACGUCAAAUCAUCAUGCCCCUUAUGACCUGGGCUACACACGUGCUACAAUGGGAAGUACAACGAGUCGCAAAGUCGCGAGGCUAAGCUAAUCUCUUAAAGCUUCUCUCAGUUCGGAUUGUAGGCUGCAACUCGCCUACAUGAAGCCGGAAUCGCUAGUAAUCGCGGAUCAGCACGCCGCGGUGAAUACGUUCCCGGGCCUUGUACACACCGCCCGUCACACCACGAGAGUUUGUAACACCCGAAGUCGGUGAGGUAACCUUUUGGAGCCAGCCGCCUAAGGUGGGAUAGAUGAUUGGGGUG
rnacentral:rRNA from 1 species